UACGAAGGGGGCUAGCGUUGCUCGGAAUCACUGGGCGUAAAGGGUGCGUAGGCGGGUCUUUAAGUCAGGGGUGAAAUCCUGGAGCUCAACUCCAGAACUGCCUUUGAUACUGAGGAUCUUGAGUUCGGGAGAGGUGAGUGGAACUGCGAGUGUAGAGGUGAAAUUCGUAGAUAUUCGCAAGAACACCAGUGGCGAAGGCGGCUCACUGGCACGAUACUGACGCUGAGGCACGAAAGCGUGGGGAGCAAACAGG
rnacentral:rRNA from 1 species